CCGGGCACCUGCUGCUGCAGCGCCGGGCCGCCCACGGGCGUGCGCGCGCGCGGGAGAUGCGGGAUGCUCGCGGCCGCCCUGCCCUCAGGUUCCCAGCAAAGCAGCGGCGAGAGGAUGGAGGUCUUCCUGCCAGUAAUCUGAGAUGAGGGAUAAUGAGGCGACCCCGAGGCCCGAGAGGAUUCCCCAGUCCCGGAAGCAAUCGCCAAGACUCCUUCCUUCCAGCCUUUGGCUCUUUGAUACCGGGCAGCUGCAAGUCCUCGACCGUGGUGGGGUAAAGUGAUGACAGAGAGGACUGUGAGUGUGUGUGUUUUGGUCCAUUUAGUGAAAAGUGGGUAGAUGGGGCAGGGUGAGAAGGAGAGCUAGAGCAAUAGAAGGAGAACGCCAGACUGGGUGAAAAGGGAAAGGGGAGGGGAGAGACAGAGAGACCUAGAGACAGAGAUAAGAGAACGCAGAGGGAGAGACUGCGCGCCCGCCGAGCGCCAACUCCAUCAGAAGGCGUGCCUGCGAGAGGAGCUGUGAACUCGAGAGAUGAACCAAGCGUACUGCUGCAAGACCAUGAAGAAGAUUGUGAGAAGGUGCCCUGGUUGUGCUCCAUGAGGUACCAGUGGAUGGGGCCAGAACUGAGGAUCAACUUCCAGGACAACUGCUUUCUUCCCAUGUCCGAUGCCUCGGGGUCCCUCGUCCUCUCUUUCACUCUUCCACACUUAAACAGUGAUGCUUGACUCCCCGGUGCUUUUCCCUGUGGCCUGGACUUCCCACAGCAUGGCAGUAUCAGGUUGCUUACAUAUCUGCCAGUGGUUUCUUGAUGUACGAGUAACAGGGAAUAGAAGCUGUAAGGCCAGUGAAAGUGUCCGCUUCAACUAGCACAUGAUCAUUUUGGUCGUAUUCCACUGAGCAGAGCAAUCGCAAAGUCCACCCAGAUACAAGGGAACAGAGAAGUGGAAUUUACUAUCUGUGGCAAAGUGACAUAGUAGCAUCGCAGAGCAACAUGUGAGACUGGAGAUGCUGUGAAGGCCAUCUCUCCAAAGUGACAUAGUAGCAUCGCAGAGCAACAUACGCGACUGGAGAUGUUGUGAAGGCCAUCUCUAAAAAGCAUGAUCUCUCAUCUUUGAAAUUGAAAUGAAUGCUUCUUUGAAGGUUCUUUUGUGUUUUAAAACCAAGGAAUAAAGAAGAGAAUAUCAGUGGUACA
rnacentral:lncRNA from 1 species